UAGGGAAUAUUGGACAAUGGGGGCAACCCUGAUCCAGCAAUGCCGCGUGAGUGAUGAAGGCCUUAGGGUUGUAAAGCUCUUUUACCCGGGAUGAUAAUGACAGUACCGGGAGAAUAAGCUCCGGCUAACUCCGUGCCAGCAGCCGCGGUAAUACGGAGGGAGCUAGCGUUGUUCGGAAUUACUGGGCGUAAAGCGCGCGUAGGCGGCUAUUUAAGUCAGAGGUGAAAGCCUGGAGCUCAACUUCAGAAUUGCCUUUGAGACUGGAUAGCUAGAAUCCUGGAGAGGUGAGUGGAAUUCCGAGUGUAGAGGUGAAAUUCGUAGAUAUUCGGAAGAACACCAGUGGCGAAGGCGGCUCACUGGACAGGUAUUGACGCUGAGGUGCGAAAGCGUGGGGAGCAAA
rnacentral:rRNA from 1 species